GCAGUCGAGCGGUAACAGGAGAAAGCUUGCUUUCUUGCUGACGAGCGGCGGACGGGUGAGUAAUGUAUGGGGAUCUGCCCGAUAGAGGGGGAUAACUACUGGAAACGGUGGCUAAUACCGCAUAAUGUCUACGGACCAAAGCAGGGGCUCUUCGGACCUUGCACUAUCGGAUGAACCCAUAUCGCAUUAGCUAGUAGGUGGGGUAAAGGCUCACCUAGGCGACGAUCUCUAGCUGGUCUGAGAGGAUGAUCAGCCACACUGGGACUGAGACACGGCCCAGACUCCUACGGGAGGCAGCAGUGGGGAAUAUUGCACAAUGGGCGCAAGCCUGAUGCAGCCAUGCCGCGUGUAUGAAGAAGGCCUUAGGGUUGUAAAGUACUUUCAGCGGGGAGGAAGGUGAUAAGGUUAAUACCCUUGUCAAUUGACGUUACCCGCAGAAGAAGCACCGGCUAACUCCGUGCCAGCAGCCGCGGUA
rnacentral:rRNA from 1 species